rnacentral:rRNA from 1 species
GUAGGUGGCAAGCGUUGUCCGGAAUUAUUGGGCGUAAAGCGCGCGCAGGUGGGUUCUUUAAGUCUGAUGUGAAAGCCCCCGGGCUCAACCGGGGAGGGUCAUUGGAAACUGGGGAACUUGAGUGCAGGAGAGGAAAGUGGAAUUCCACGUGUAGCGGUGAAAUGCGUAGAUAUGUGGAGGAACACCAGUGGCGAAGGCGACUUUCUGGCCUGUAACUGACACUGAGGCGCGAAAGGGUGGGGAGCAAACAGGAUUAGAUACCCUGGUAGUCCACGCCGUAAACGAUGAGUGCUAAGUGUUGGGGGGUUUCCGCCCCUCAGUGCUGCAGCUAACGCAUUAAGCACUCCGCCUGGGGAGUACGGCCGCAAAGACUG